UACAGAGGGGGCGAGCGUUGUUCGGAAUUACUGGGCGUAAAGGGCGCGUAGGCGGCCUCUUAAGUCGAACGUGAAAUCCCCGGGCUCAACCCGGGAACUGCGUCCGAUACUGGGAGGCUUGAAUCCGGGAGAGGGAUGUGGAAUUCCAGGUGUAGCGGUGAAAUGCGUAGAUAUAGGAAGGAACACCAGUGGCGAAGGCGACCACCUGGACUGAUACUGACACUGAGGUGCGAAAGCGUGGGGAGCAAACAGG
rnacentral:rRNA from 1 species